rnacentral:piRNA from 1 species
GACCAUAUACUGUCCUGAUUAUAAGGAUGC